rnacentral:misc_RNA from 1 species
GAUGAAGAACGCAGCGAAAUGCGAUAAGUAAUGUGAAUUGCAGAAUUCAGUGAAUCAUCGAAUCUUUGAACGCACAUUGCGCCCGCCAGCAUUCUGGCGGGCAUGCCUGUUCGAGCGUCAUUUCAACCCUCGAGCCCCCCCGGGGGCCUCGGUGUUGGGGGACGGCACACCAGCCGCCCCCGAAAUGCAGUGGCGACCCCGCCGCAGCCUCCCCUGCGUAGUAGCACACACCUCGCACCGCAGCGCGGAGGCGGUCACGCCGUAAAACGCCCAACUUUCUUAGAGUUGACCUCGGAUCAGGUAGGAAUACCCGCUGAACUUAAGCAUAUCAAUAAGCGGAGGA